ACGUAGGAGGCAAACGUUAUCCGGAUUUACUGGGCGUAAAGCGCGUGUAGGUGGUACUGUAAGUAGGGCGUGAAAGCUCCUGGCUCAACUGGGAGAGGCCGUUCUAAACUACAGAACUAGAGGAUGGUAGAGGGAGGUGGAAUUCCAGGUGUAGCGGUGAAAUGCGCAGAUAUCUGGAGGAACACCGGUGGCGAAGGCGGCCUCCUGGACCAUUCCUGACACUCAGACGCGAAAGCUAGGGUAGCAAACGG
rnacentral:rRNA from 1 species